rnacentral:sRNA from 1 species
UUUUUUUUUGGUUUUUGGUUUUCUGUUUUUUUUUUUUUUUUGGGUUA